CAGGCCUUUUUGUGCUAGUUGUUUGCAUGAGUUGGAUCACUGAUUAGACUAAUAGAACCUUGCAUUAGAAUGUUUCUUCUAAUUAUCCUUGUGUGAGGAAAUGGGCUUUUUAGUCUUUCCUGGGUUAUCAUUUGUUCCUUCCACCACAAUUACUCAUUUCAGAACUGCAUUUUAUACCUUGCCAGCGAAUUGGAUCACAAGAGGUUGCUCAUGAGUUUUUGCUUACAUGUGUAGUAGGAGACUAGGAGCUCAAAAUGUCACGAAAAGCUAUCAGUAUUGUUCAUGGUGGUGGACGAAACUCUGGAUGCUAUAUUUGGAGAUGUUGGUACUUAAUAUAAUAAUUAUUCAUGAAAUGAUUUAUUUUAUUAUGUUACUGAAUUGUACCUAGAAAUUUCUUUAAUUGUAGCUAGAAAUUACUGUCGCCCAAAA